AUCGCUUCUCGGCCUUUUGGCUAAGAUCAAGUGUAGAAGGGCAAAGCUUGGGGGGAUUUUUUUUGUUUGUUUGUAAGAGGCACACAAUGUUUACAUUUCAGUUAGCUUCUUGGUCUAGCCUGAGGUCUGUUCCAGACUCCUGCU
ensembl:snRNA LOC120094962 U2 spliceosomal RNA